CCUACGGGAGGCUGCAGUGGGGAAUAUUGGACAAUGGGGGGAACCCUGAUCCAGCCAUGCCGCGUGUGUGAAGAAGGCCCUCGGGUUGUAAAGCACUUUCAGUGAGGAAGAACGCCUGGUGGUUAAUACCCAUCAGGAAAGACAUCACUCACAGAAGAAGCACCGGCUAACUCCGUGCCAGCAGUCGCGGUAAUACGGAGGGUGCGAGCGUUAAUCGGAAUUACUGGGCGUAAAGCGCGCGUAGGUGGCUUGAUAAGCCGGUUGUGAAAGCCCCGGGCUCAACCUGGGAACGGCAUCCGGAACUGUCAAGCUAGAGUGCAGGAGAGGAAGGUAGAAUUCCCGGUGUAGCGGUGAAAUGCGUAGAGAUCGGGAGGAAUACCAGUGGCGAAGGCGGCCUUCUGGACUGACACUGACACUGAGGUGCGAAAGCGUGGGUAGCAAACAGGAUUAGAUACCCCAGUAGUC
rnacentral:rRNA from 1 species